UACGUAGGUGGCGAGCGUUGUCCGGAUUUACUGGGCGUAAAGAGCGCGCAGGCGGUCGUACAAGUCGCGUGUGAAAGCCCCCGGCUCAACUGGGGAGGGUCACGCGAUACUGUUCGACUCGAAGGCAGGAGAGGGAAGCGGAAUUCCCGGUGUAGUGGUGAAAUGCGUAGAUAUCGGGAGGAACACCAGUGGCGAAGGCGGCUCACUGGCCCGGUACUGACGCUGAGGUGCGAAAGCGUGGGGAGCAAACAGG
rnacentral:rRNA from 1 species